UGGUUCUGGCAUCGAUGAAGAACGCAGCGAAAUGCGAUAAGUAGUGUGAAUUGCAGAAUUCAGUGAAUCAUCGAAUCUUUGAACGCACAUUGCGCCCUUUGGCAUUCCUUAGGGCAUGCCUGUUCGAGCGUCAUCUAACCCCUCAAGCACCGCUUGAUGUUGGGCGUUUGUCCCGCCUCCGGGCGCGGACUCGCCUCGAAAGCAUUGGCAGCCUGUGUAUUGGCUUCGAGCGCAGCAGACUCGCGCCUCGUCCCCUCUCCGCGCAGGCGUCCACGAAGCAACCCCCAAGUUUGACCUCGGAUCAGGUAGGGAUACCCGCUGA
rnacentral:misc_RNA from 1 species